rnacentral:tRNA from 1 species
UAAGUUUUACAGAUAAUA